GGGUUGUGAGGUUAAGCGACUAAGCGUACACGGUGGAUGCCCUGGCAGUCAGAGGCGAUGAAGGACGUGCUAAUCUGCGAUAAGCGUCGGUAAGGUGAUAUGAACCGUUAUAACCGGCGAUUUCCGAAUGGGGAAACCCAGUGUGAUUCGUCACACUAUCAUUAACUGAAUCCAUAGGUUAAUGAGGCGAACCGGGGGAACUGAAACAUCUAAGUACCCCGAGGAAAAGAAAUCAACCGAGAUUCCCCCAGUAGCGGCGAGCGAACGGGGAGCAGCCCAGAGCCUGAAUCAGUGUGUGUGUUAGUGGAAGCGUCUGGAAAGGCGCGCGAUACAGGGUGACAGCCCCGUACACAAAAAUGCACAUGCUGUGAGCUCGAUGAGUAGGGCGGGACACGUGGUAUCCUGUCUGAAUAUGGGGGGACCAUCCUCCAAGGCUAAAUACUCCUGACUGACCGAUAGUGAACCAGUACCGUGAGGGAAAGGCGAAAAGAACCCCGGCGAGGGGAGUGAAAAAGAACCUGAAACCGUGUACGUACAAGCAGUGGGAGCACGCUUCGGCGUGUGACUGCGUACCUUUUGUAUAAUGGGUCAGCGACUUAUAUUCUGUAGCAAGGUUAACCGAAUAGGGGAGCCGAAGGGAAACCGAGUCUUAACUGGGCGUUAAGUUGCAGGGUAUAGACCCGAAACCCGGUGAUCUAGCCAUGGGCAGGUUGAAGGUUGGGUAACACUAACUGGAGGACCGAACCGACUAAUGUUGAAAAAUUAGCGGAUGACUUGUGGCUGGGGGUGAAAGGCCAAUCAAACCGGGAGAUAGCUGGUUCUCCCCGAAAGCUAUUUAGGUAGCGCCUCGUGAAUUCAUCUCCGGGGGUAGAGCACUGUUUCGGCAAGGGGGUCAUCCCGACUUACCAACCCGAUGCAAACUGCGAAUACCGGAGAAUGUUAUCACGGGAGACACACGGCGGGUGCUAACGUCCGUCGUGAAGAGGGAAACAACCCAGACCGCCAGCUAAGGUCCCAAAGUCAUGGUUAAGUGGGAAACGAUGUGGGAAGGCCCAGACAGCCAGGAUGUUGGCUUAGAAGCAGCCAUCAUUUAAAGAAAGCGUAAUAGCUCACUGGUCGAGUCGGCCUGCGCGGAAGAUGUAACGGGGCUAAACCAUGCACCGAAGCUGCGGCAGCGACACUAUGUGUUGUUGGGUAGGGGAGCGUUCUGUAAGCCUGUGAAGGUGUACUGUGAGGUAUGCUGGAGGUAUCAGAAGUGCGAAUGCUGACAUAAGUAACGAUAAAGCGGGUGAAAAGCCCGCUCGCCGGAAGACCAAGGGUUCCUGUCCAACGUUAAUCGGGGCAGGGUGAGUCGACCCCUAAGGCGAGGCCGAAAGGCGUAGUCGAUGGGAAACAGGUUAAUAUUCCUGUACUUGGUGUUACUGCGAAGGGGGGACGGAGAAGGCUAUGUUGGCCGGGCGACGGUUGUCCCGGUUUAAGCGUGUAGGCUGGUUUUCCAGGCAAAUCCGGAAAAUCAAGGCUGAGGCGUGAUGACGAGGCACUACGGUGCUGAAGCAACAAAUGCCCUGCUUCCAGGAAAAGCCUCUAAGCAUCAGGUAACAUCAAAUCGUACCCCAAACCGACACAGGUGGUCAGGUAGAGAAUACCAAGGCGCUUGAGAGAACUCGGGUGAAGGAACUAGGCAAAAUGGUGCCGUAACUUCGGGAGAAGGCACGCUGAUAUGUAGGUGAAGCGACUUGCUCGUGGAGCUGAAAUCAGUCGAAGAUACCAGCUGGCUGCAACUGUUUAUUAAAAACACAGCACUGUGCAAACACGAAAGUGGACGUAUACGGUGUGACGCCUGCCCGGUGCCGGAAGGUUAAUUGAUGGGGUUAGCGCAAGCGAAGCUCUUGAUCGAAGCCCCGGUAAACGGCGGCCGUAACUAUAACGGUCCUAAGGUAGCGAAAUUCCUUGUCGGGUAAGUUCCGACCUGCACGAAUGGCGUAAUGAUGGCCAGGCUGUCUCCACCCGAGACUCAGUGAAAUUGAACUCGCUGUGAAGAUGCAGUGUACCCGCGGCAAGACGGAAAGACCCCGUGAACCUUUACUAUAGCUUGACACUGAACAUUGAGCCUUGAUGUGUAGGAUAGGUGGGAGGCUUUGAAGUGUGGACGCCAGUCUGCAUGGAGCCGACCUUGAAAUACCACCCUUUAAUGUUUGAUGUUCUAACGUUGGCCCGUGAUCCGGGUUGCGGACAGUGUCUGGUGGGUAGUUUGACUGGGGCGGUCUCCUCCUAAAGAGUAACGGAGGAGCACGAAGGUUGGCUAAUCCUGGUCGGACAUCAGGAGGUUAGUGCAAUGGCAUAAGCCAGCUUGACUGCGAGCGUGACGGCGCGAGCAGGUGCGAAAGCAGGUCAUAGUGAUCCGGUGGUUCUGAAUGGAAGGGCCAUCGCUCAACGGAUAAAAGGUACUCCGGGGAUAACAGGCUGAUACCGCCCAAGAGUUCAUAUCGACGGCGGUGUUUGGCACCUCGAUGUCGGCUCAUCACAUCCUGGGGCUGAAGUAGGUCCCAAGGGUAUGGCUGUUCGCCAUUUAAAGUGGUACGCGAGCUGGGUUUAGAACGUCGUGAGACAGUUCGGUCCCUAUCUGCCGUGGGCGCUGGAGAACUGAGGGGGGCUGCUCCUAGUACGAGAGGACCGGAGUGGACGCAUCACUGGUGUUCGGGUUGUCAUGCCAAUGGCACUGCCCGGUAGCUAAAUGCGGAAGAGAUAAGUGCUGAAAGCAUCUAAGCACGAAACUUGCCCCGAGAUGAGUUCUCCCUGACUCCCUGAGAGUCCUGAAGGAACGUUGAAGACGACGACGUUGAUAGGCCGGGUGUGUAAGCGCAGCGAUGCGUUGAGCUAACCGGUACUAAUGAACCGUGAGGCUUAACCUUACAACGCCGAAG
rnacentral:rRNA from 1 species